GACGAACGCUGGCGGCGUGCUUAACACAUGCAAGUCGAACGAUGAACCCGGAGCUUGCUCCGGCGGAUUAGUGGCGAACGGGUGAGUAACACGUGAGUAACCUGCCCUUGACUCUGGGAUAACUGCUAGAAAUGGUAGCUAAUACCGGAUACGACCCUCGGUGGCAUCACCAGGGGGUGGAAAGAAUUUCGGUCAAGGAUGGACUCGCGGCCUAUCAGCUAGUUGGUGAGGUAACGGCUCACCAAGGCGACGGCGGGUAGCCGGCCUGAGAGGGUGACCGGCCACACUGGGACUGAGACACGGCCCAGACUCCUACGGGAGGCAGCAGUAAAGAAUCUUCCGCAAUGGACGAAAGUCUGACGGAGCGACGCCGCGUGCAGGAUGAAGGCCUUCGGGUUGUAAACUGCUUUUCUGAAAGAAUAAUUCUGAAGGUAUUUCAGGAAUAAGUACCGGCAAAUCUCGUGCCAGCCGCCGCGGUAA
rnacentral:rRNA from 1 species